UUGAGAGUUUGAUCCUGGCUCAGGAUGAACGCUGGCGGCGUGCCUUAAGCAUGCAAGUCGAACGGGCCCGCAAGGGUCAGUGGCGGACGGUUGAGUAAUAGGCGGGAAUCUACCUCGAAGUGGGACAUAGCCAGCCGAAAGGUUGGGUAAUUUCCCAUGUGAUCGCAAGAUCAAAGCCGCAAGGCGCUUUGAGAUGAGCCUGCCUCCUAUCAGCUUGUUGGUGGGGUAAUGGCCUACCAAGGCAACGACGGGUAGCUGGUCUGAGAGGAUGGUCAGCCAGAGUGGGACUGCGACACGGCCCACACACCUACGGGUGGCAGCAACUAGGAAUCUUGGGCAAUGGGCGAAAGCCUGACCCAGCGACGCCGCGUGGAGGAUUGACGGCCUUCGGGUUGUAAACUCCUUUUAUCUGGGAAGAUUAUGACGGUACCAGAUGAAUAAGCACCUGCUAACUACGUGCCAGAAGCCUCGGUAAUACGUAGGGUGCAAGCGUUAUCCGGAUUUAUUGGGCGUAAAGAGUAGCGUAGGCGGUCCGAUGCAUUUUGCUUGAAAGCCCAUGGCUUAACCAUGGUUUUGGGCAAAAUAUGAUCGGACUUGAAGGUACAAUAGGGUGUUGGAACCGAUCGUGGAGCGGUGAAAUGCGUUGAUAUGAUCGGGAACGCCAAAGGUGUAGACAGACACCUGGUGUAUUCUUGACGCUUAGGCACGAAAGCUUGGGGAGCGAAGCAGAUUAGAGACCUGCGUAGUCCAAGCCGUAAACAAUGUCCGCUAGUUAUUGGCCUUUUUGGUCAGUGACGAAGUUAACACGUUAAGCGGACCGCCUGGGGAGUACGAGCGCAAGCUUAAAACUCAAAGGAAUUGACGGGGAGGCGCACAAGCAGUGGAGCGUGUGGUUUAAUUCGAUACCAAGCGAAGAACCUCACCAGGGCUUGACAUGCUAGAGUUCUAUCCCGCCGAAAGGCGGGAAAUCCGCAAGGAGGCUAGCACAGAUGCUGCAUGGCUGUCGUCAGCUCGUGGCGUGGGGU
rnacentral:rRNA from 1 species